UACAGAGGUGGCAAGCGUUGUUCGGAAUUACUGGGCGUAAAGGGCGCGUAGGCGGCCUUCUAAGUCAGACGUGAAAUCCCCCGGCUUAACCUGGGAACUGCGUCUGAUACUGGAAGGCUUGAGACCGGGAGAGGUGAGUGGAAUUCCCAGUGUAGCGGUGAAAUGCGUAGAUAUUGGGAGGAACACCAGUGGCGAAGGCGGCUCACUGGACCGGAACUGACGCUGAGGCGCGAAAGCCAGGGGAGCAAACGGG
rnacentral:rRNA from 1 species